AGACGUCUACAUUAGAUACCCGGGUAGUCCCAGCCGUAAACUAUGCGCGUUAGGUGUAUCGGUGACCACGAGUUACCGAGGUGCCGAAGGGAAACCGUGAAACGUGCCGCCUGGGAAGUACGGUCGCAAGGCUGAACUUAAGGAAUUGGCGGGGGAGCACCACAACGGGUGGAGCCUGCGGUUUAAUUGGACUCAACGCCGGGAAGCUCACCGGAUAAGACAGCGGAAUGAUUGCCGGGCUGAAGACUCUGCAUGACUAGCUG
rnacentral:rRNA from 1 species